UACGAAGGGUGCAAGCGUUGCUCGGAAUCAUUGGGCGUAAAGCGCACGUAGGCGGCUUCAAAAGUCGGAUGUGAAAUCCCGUGGCUCAACCAUGGACGUGCAUUCGAAACUGCGAAGCUUGAGUAUGGAAGAGGGUCGCGGAAUUCCCGGUGUAGAGGUGAAAUUCGUAGAUAUCGGGAGGAACACCAGUGGCGAAGGCGGCGAUCUGGGUGGAUACUGACGCUGAGGUGCGAAAGCGUGGGGAGCAAACAGG
rnacentral:rRNA from 1 species